CCACUGAGUACUGCAUACUUUGAGCUUCAUUUUGGCUCUUCAGAAACCUAAGGGUUACGUCACAGAGACUAUGUCCAUAUUUUAUACAGUCUAUGUUAAAGGUCUCAUAUUUCC